AGAAAAUAGUUUAAAUAAAAUUUAGGUUUUGGAAAUCUAAGAUGGCCUUAUAGGUCUUUUCUGAG
rnacentral:tRNA from 1 species